ensembl:lncRNA
GGAACCUUGGCAGGCCACGAAGUAUUCGCUUGGCUUUAUUUGGAGCUGGUGUCCACUUUGAAGCCCAAAGUGAUGGGGCAACUGACCAUGUGCUGGAACCUUUGAAACUUCACUCUCAGCAAACAGCUGCUACACACCAUUGAGCAGUGGAGACAAUCUUCCAGGAGAAUAGCUAAUAAUAAUUUGAUGUGCUGGUGAUGGAGAAUGUCAUGCUAAAAGCCACAGAGCAUAGUUGGCGCUUCCUUCUGUUCAAUCAGCAUCUUACAGAUUUCAGAUCUACACCGUGUUGACUUGGAUGCAGGCUCUGCUGCAUGUGAAUGAGUUUUCCAGCCACAAACACUAGUGAAAGUCAUCACUGGAAUGACUUUGAAAGUCAGGGAAUCAAUAUCUGUAUCCUUGAGAAAUAAAACCUCCUGCUAUCAAGCUUUCC